GUUUUCAGUUUCAGUUUCCCAGAAAGGAGGUGUCUCUGUGGUGACGAGCAGGGCUUCAUCCAGUGCCUCUGUCCCCACCGAGGGGACUAUGGGAGACAUGGAGGGUGUGUGAGCAACAGGUGAGACUGGAGCCAGCUGAAAACUGGGAGACCGACCCAGCCAACAAACAAUGUCGGUCUCUGUCUUGGCACCUGCAGGAAACAAGCUCCUACUUCCAGAAAAAGUGCUCCUGGGACUCCAGGAUACCAGGCAUCUGGGUAAGCUACAAUGCUUAACCACUUAACACAAUCAGGAAGCAACAGCCAUGCAUUCGGGAAAGGAACUUCAGUGUUGUGUGGCUCAGUCUCCAGACCUAACUUUCCCUUUGGUACAGACGCGGUGGUACAUGCCUGUAAUCCCAACACUUAGGCAGGAGGAUCACUCGAGCCCAGAAGAUCAAGACUAGUGUGAGCAACAAAAUCCUUCCCUGGCACCGGUUCCAGGAGGACCUCGUUCUUAGGCAGCAUCUGUGUCUCUGUUUUGUAAGACACACAGAGUAUCCUUAACCCACUGCAGAUAUUUCCCUGGGUCCAUGGUCAAUCAACACCACCUUUCAGUCUCCAGCCUCUUAACCAGCCCAGGGCUGAGUGUUGUUUAUAGUAUUAAUAUGUUUCUGGCUGGGCUCAGUGGCUCAUGCCUGUAAUCCCGGCACUAUGGGAGGCUGAGGCAGGCGGAUCACUUGAGGUCAGGAGUUCAAGACCAGCCUGGCCAACAUAGUAAAACCCCGUCUCUACUAAAAAUACAAAAAUGAGCCGGGUGUGGUGGCGUGUGUCUAUAAUCCCAGCUACUCGGGAGGCUGAGGCAGGAGAAUUGCUUGAACCUGGGAGGUGGAGGCUACAGUGAGCUGAGAUCAUGCCACUGCACUCCAGCCUGGGCAAGAAAGUGAGACUCCAUCUCAAAACAAAGAAACAAACAAAGUAUUAAUAUGUUCCCCUUGAUCAGUGGGGUGGUUCACCCUUGUAAUCCCAGCACUUUGGGAGGCAGAGGCUGGCGGAUCGCUUGAGUCCAGGAGUUCGAGACCAGCCUGGGUGAACUAGCAAAACCCUGCCUGUACUAAAAAUACAAAAAUUAACUGGGCUUGGUGGUGCGAGCCUGUAAUCCCAGUGGAGGCUGAGACAGGAGAAUCCUUUUGUAAUGCCUGACCUUGUUUUUUUACUAACCCUAUUUUAACCUUGUUUUUACUAACCCUAUUUUUAAAUUUUCCCUUUUUGUCUCCUUAAUUACCUAGCCUUGUUUCCCAUAUGAGUAGACUCUCCCUUAGCUGGGAAAGCCUGACGAACGCCAUCUGGCCCCUUGAUUUACAAGACAUUAAGGGCUACUUACCCAACCCCCUUCCUCAAAGAGUUAACCUGCGUAAGCAGAUCCUCAGCAUUUCAAAGGAGCCCAAUUAGCUGAUAAGGUACUGGAACAAACAAUGUACGAAGUUCCCAGGAUUUUGCUCAAAAGCAUAACAACAUAAAGCCUUGAGUCUGUGUCUGGCAUAGCAUCCAUAUCUAACUCUUAUGAAGGAUUUAGAGCCCGGCACCUGGUUCCGUUGCUUUUUUUGUAACCAUUUGUCUUUUAAAUUGUUUAUUUCUCUGUAACCAUUUGUUUUUUGAUUCUUGCAUGUUUUUACUUCUGUAGAAUUAUUGCAUUUGAGCUCCGCUCCCCUUCCGAACCAAGGUAUAAAAGUAAAUCAAGCCCCUUCCUCGGGGCCGAGAGAAUUUUGGAAAGUCAAGCCUUCUCUUGGCUGCCGGCUUAAAUAAAGGACUCUUAAUUCGUCUCGAA
ensembl:lncRNA BISPR BST2 interferon stimulated positive regulator